CCCCCUCCUUUGUUGGAAUGGAGUGAUUUCACCUGUCUGCCUAAGUGCUGCUAGCUUGCCCUGUCCCAUCUCUGAUGUUCUCCUGUCCGUGAUAGAAGUCUUCCUGAUGGCUUUCUUCUCUCACCCCAGAGUAGGAAAACUUAGUUCUGCUCCACUCAGUGGUGCAUUCAGAGUCCCUACUGAGUGCCAGCCAUUGUUCUUGGCCCCAGAGACGAUGAGACAAGACAGGAGACACAGUCCUCCUGUGCGUGGAGCUCAUUUGGGCCAAGGAGGGAGGAAAGCAGACAUGCCUCUACCAGCCAGUGUAGUUCGGUUGAGGUGGGGCCCAGCACAGCUUUGUGUGUGAGCUCACCGGGGACACCUGGCCAGGAUCUCAGGGGAUCCCCACAGGAGGGGCUCUCUGACUCUCGGGCUGGCUCAUAGAAGGAGUUGGCCAAAUACAUGGAGAGAAGAAAUGCUCAAGAAAGAACAGUAUGGGCCAAGGAAUGGCACAGGUGAGAGCCAAAAGAAAUUUGGUGUGGCCAGAAAGCGGAGUUUGGAUUGAGUAAGUGAGAAGAGAACAGCUAAAAGCAUACCAAAGCUGGUCUAAACCAAUUGUUUGUUGAAUUUGAACCAAAAAUUCAGUGUCCCAGAGUGAGCUCAUACAGCACCUGAAGUCUCCAUGGCUAAAGUGGAAGAUUAUUGCAAGUAGCAGGUCCCAGGCUCCCUGAGUCUACCUGUCCCCAUCCCUUCUGCCACACUAUACCCCACUCCCUGUGAGAACAUCAUCUGGCUGGGCCAUGACUGGGCCUGAUCCCUGAUGACGUCCAGAGGAAACAAGAUGGGGAAGGAGAAUCUUCGGGGGAGAAGUAAAGAGGAGGCAUGAGGAGCAGAGGCUGAGCCAGCUGCUCCGGCCACCCAUGGCUGAUCUCGUUCUCCGGGAUAGGCAAUUCUCUAACUUUUAUAAACUCAGAAUGUGAGACUCAGAAACCAAGAACCUACCCUACCUCAGCCGGGCUCCAGGACCCUUGCCCCUCCACUGCCAUCGCUACCCCUAUUCCUGACUGGCACAAACUCCCCAUUUCGGUGGACCACCCUCUGCUCCUGGGUUUUUGAGGUUGACCUUUGAAUUAACAUCAGGCAAUUCAGAGGUGUAGGAGCUGGCUGUAUUCCCCUAAACAUAGGCACAUCCAGGAACCCAUUUUAUGUUUAUAAUCCAUGCUGCAAGCUGUGAGCUGAGAAACAUUCCUAACCUGGACGCUGAGAUCUCUUCAACACCUGCAGUGUCAGACACCGUACACUUUCUGGUUUGGAGAUCCGUCAUUCUGAGGCGAGUCCUUCAGAACUGCGCUGUGGUGGGGACAGUCUUUGAGGAAGGAGAACUUCCGUCUUCGCAGGGGGGUGCCCUCACCAGUGAGUCCAAGUGGAACUGCCACGCUCACUAGUGCCUGGAGAGCUCCCCAUGCACUCCCGGAGGAGGGACGGGAAUCGUUCACAGUGCCAAAGUCCUACUGCUGUUUCCAAUGGGUCCUUGUACAUACUCGCUCCUCUGACCCAGGCCCGCCUCUUGCUAUACUGGAACUGAUUUGUACUCUACGGGAAUUUUGUUACCUUUUUAAUCAAGGACAACUUCCUUUUCCAGCACUACCACCGCAAGAUUUUUUCCAGGAGUGAAGGCUAACCACAUUGCUUUUCUUUGUUUUUAUUUUUCUUUUAUUAAUUUGGGAAGGGUGUGCUAGUAUUAGUGCCAUUAUAGCUAUUGGAUUUUAAGUAGGGAGAAUUUAUUUUUAAAUGUAGCCUGAAGUUUGGAAGGUUUCUUGGUGGAAAGGGCUGGAUUGGGCUGUCUCCACUCUGAGUGGAUCUGCAGGUGGCAGAUCUCUACAUCAAAUGCACUUCUGGUUCUUCCGGGCUGCUUUGGGACCCCUGCCUCACCCACACACAGGUUUUCCACUCGUCUGACUUCUCCACUGCUUGUCUCAGGCCAGCGUGGCCAGCAUCGCUAGAAGGACUGGGUAGCAGGUGGCUGUUCUCUUAAGCACCUUUUUAAAUACCAGCAGGAAGGGCUCCACAUUUAUUAGCACCAUCUAUGCUUAUGAAGUUAAACAAACAAAAGAUCUCCCUUUCAAGGUGGUACAAAGACAAACAGCUUUGGGUUUUCAUUUCUCUUCUUAACUGCCUUUUCUUGGUGUGGUAUUUGAGAAGCUUUAGCUUGAAGCCUCACCAUGAAUCGAUACUUUGUGUGCGUGCGUGUGUGCGUAAUGCGUGCGUGCGUGCGUGUGUGUGUGUGUGUCUGUGUGUUUUGGGCCAAUUUUAGAUACAUGAGUGCACUUUUUUUUUAGAUAGUCCUAACUUUUAAAGAAGGAAAACCAAGAGAUACAUCCGGUAUAAAUGUUGCAAUGUGAUUUUUGUUUGCAAUCCCUUUUCCCCUCCUGACAUCCUUCUGUUGAGUACACUGCACAAAUAAAAUGCUAGGGAGUUUGAAUAAAAACCAGUUUUUCUAACUUGUUGCUCAUUUGUUGUAACUCAAUAAAGCAAAGACUAAACAUUUUUAUAA
ensembl:lncRNA